GACGAACGCUGGCGGCGUGCUUAACACAUGCAAGUCGAACGGAAAGGCCCGGCUUUUGCGGGUUGCUCGAGUGGCGAAGGGGGGAGUAACACGUGAGUAACCUGCCCUUGACAUAGGGAUAACUUCAGGAAACUGGGGCUAAUACAGGAGAUGAGCUCCUGCAGCAUGUUGGGGGAUGGAAAGAUUCGGCGGUGGGGGAUGGACUCGAGGCUUAUGAGCUUGUUGGUGGGGUAGGGGCGUACAAAGGCUUUGACGGGUAGCCGGCAUGGGAGGGUGACCGGCCACAUUGGGACUGAGAUACGGAGCAGACUGCUACGGGAGGCAACGGUGGAGAAUAUUGCACAAUGGGCGGAAGUCUGAGACGGCGACGUUGCGUGCGGAAUGCCGGCUUUCGGGUUGUAAACCGAUGUGGAAGGUGACGAGGCGGGAGUGACGGUAAUGGGUAAGGAAGCACCGGCUAACUACGUG
rnacentral:rRNA from 1 species